rnacentral:rRNA from 1 species
GACGAACGCUGGCGGCGUGCUUAACACAUGCAAGUCGAACGAAGAGCGAUGGAAGCUUGCUUCUAUCAAUCUUAGUGGCGCACGGGUGAGUAACGCGUAAUCAACCUGCCCUUCAGAGGGGGACAACAGUUGGAAACGACUGCUAAUACCGCAUACGAUCUAAUCUCGGCAUCGAGGAUAGAUGAAAGGUGGCCUCUACAUGUAAGCUAUCACUGAAGGAGGGGAUUGCGUCUGAUUAGCUAGUUGGAGGGGUAACGGCCCACCAAGGCGAUGAUCAGUAGCCGGUCUGAGAGGAUGAACGGCCACAUUGGGACUGGGACACGGCCCAGACUCCUACGGGAGGCAGCAGUGGGGAAUCUUCCGCAAUGGACGAAAGUCUGACGGAGCAACGCCGCGUGAGUGAUGACGGCCUUCGGGUUGUAAAGCUCUGUUAAUCGGGACGAAAGGCCUUCUUGCGAAUAGUGAGAAGGAUUGACGGUACCGGAAUAGAAAGCCACGGCUAACUACGUG